rnacentral:tRNA from 1 species
GCCAUCGUGGUGUAACGGUAGCACAUUCAGCUCGCAUUCGAGAAUCCGGGUUCGAGUCCCGGCUAGGUCA